CAGCGACCAGUACGCUCGCUUCGAUUCUCUGAGCCCAGAGAAUCGGCAGAACGCUCAACAGCACAACAAGCAUCUGUGAAAGAAGAAAAUCGAUUACAGAGCUAUAUAAAGAAUGUAUUAUUGACUUUUACAUUUUCCGAUAUAGCUUGUGUAAUCAAUGAUGUUGGGUCAACGAAGAUCGUUGUCGAACUUGUUUCUUGAGCCUAUGUGUCAAUGUAUGACAGCAAGACAACUUUAUCAUAAUUGGAUGCAAUCUGGACGACUAUAACGCAUCUACAUUUGUCUCGUCGGUCAUCGUUUAUUCCUAAUCGCGAUUAUUAUCAAAUCAGUUCAACCAACAGAUUUGUCGUGCUGACGAAAGCAGACGUAGCACAGAACGAUAAAGCACUGACAAAACUGCGAGAAGGCAUAUGUGGAACAUACAGGUGCAAGUGACUAUGGAGAUAUCUAUAUAAAAAAAAAUUAUUCACCGUCAAGAAAUCAUUGCUCCUUGAUAUUAAAGAAAAUUGAGAGUUGUAUAUCUGUGAAACGAAGAAUUUAAGAUAUGAAUUUUAACAAUCUAUCUACAUUUCUGUCUAGAAAAUGCAUACUUGAUCAAGAAUUAUAGAUGCCUCAACAGUUUUGCUGCAAUUGAAUGCAAAAUCUCUAUUUCUACCUGAAGAUAAACCAGUCUGGACGAAUGAUUGGAGCUUACAUCGCUCACAAGAUAGAUGCUCACGAUUAUUAAUACAAUUCGGAGGUGAUGCAGUUUCCUAUCCGAGACCGACAAAUCCGCGAAUACGACUGAAAAAGAAGGUAUGGAAACGCAGCGGAUGCGCGAAUCCGCCGAUGCAAGUCUAAACUGCGCACCCCGUAACCCACCCUGCAACACGACCGACCCGUUGUGCACUGCAGUGCGUAUAACGGGCAGUAAAAAGGGUGCAGCCGUAUUUCUGUAGUUCGCAAAAGCUAUAUAUUUCACCAAAGCGCACAAGAUUGCUAAAAUUAGAUUUCAUCUAGAAAAACUAUGGCUGAUAAUUAGUUUCAGUCUUAGAUUAGACAAUUACUUUUUCGAGAGGAGUUAAAAAUGAAAUGGAUAAUGGUGUAUAGUUUUCAUAAAUAAAACAUAAAUCGUCAUAACACAAUCUUAGCAUAACAAGUAAACCGCAAGUAUAUAUAUAGCGAAAGUUGAUGCGUCGAAAUAGCGUUAUUGAACCGGGAUAGCUAAUGCUGUAUUGUGGCAAUAAGAACACGUCAGUGCGUAAGAGUAAGUGCACAACAUUACGCCUAUUUCGCAAAAUUUCUUUUAACGAACUUUCGAUUUUCGUAUAAAAUAUUCGGAUAGUGCAAUAUUUUGGAAAAAGGCAUCGGUGUGCAACGGCUAAAUGAAACAUAAAUUAAAUGUAUUGACAAAUCUAGGAAUAAAAGAGAAAAAAAUAGUAUUC